rnacentral:rRNA from 1 species
CCUACGGGAGGCAGCAGUGAGGAAUAUUGGUCAAUGGGCUUACGCCUGAACCAGCCAAGUCGCGUGAGGGAAGACUGCCCUAUGGGUUGUAAACCUCUUUUGUCAGGGAGCAACGCCGGCUACGUGUAGCCGGACUGAGAGUACCUGAAGAAAAAGCAUCGGCUAACUCCGUGCCAGCAGCCGCGGUAAUACGGAGGAUCCGAGCGUUAUCCGGAUUUAUUGGGUUUAAAGGGAGCGUAGGUGGAUUGUUAAGUCAGUUGUGAAAGUUUGCGGCUCAACCGUAAAAUUGCAGUUGAAACUGGCAGUCUUGAGUGAGUGAGAAGUAUGCGGAAUGCGUGGUGUAGCGGGGAAAGGCAUAGAUAUCACGCAGAACUCCGAUUGCGAAGGCAGCAUACCGGCGCUCAACUGACGCUCAUGCACGAAAGUGUGGGUAUCGAACAGGAUUAGAUACCCCUGUAGUC